rnacentral:tRNA from 16 species
GCCCUGGUGGUGGAAUUGGUAGACACAGCAGACUUAAAAUCUGCCGGCCGUUAGGCUGUACCGGUUCAAGUCCGGUCCGGGGCACCA